AUGGAGACGGCGGCUGCUAGUCGGUCCAGCGGGCCAGUGCUGUCGACGCCCAACUGCCGCUCCGCCUCACCCACCCCCGUCAAGCUCGCCGGCGGCGGCGCCACCCACUCGCCGGGCAAGCCCGUCAGCGGCUCGUCCCCGUCCUGUACCAGGAGCCGGCGCUUCUGCACGUGCUCCCCGACGAACCACCCGGGCUCGUUCCGGUGCAGCCUCCACAAGGCGCGCAAGCAGGCGGCCGCCGCCGGCAGCAGCAAGCCCGCCUCCCCGCCGUCCAGCCGCGGUCUGGGCCCGUAG
rnacentral:rRNA from 1 species